UUUUUUUUUUUCAAAAAAAACCUACUUUUUUGGUAUAAAUCAAUGUGUUAGUACAUUUUUAAAUGUAGAUACUAUAGUUUUAAUUGUUUAUUAAGAAACCUGUAAAAGAUGAAAUACACUUAAAACUUAAAAUGUUCUUUUUAAUUGUUGUAAACGGAAAGUCGAUCCAAAGUGACGUCCUACCAAUAGUUAUUAUAUGAAAAGCAAAAACUAAUCUGAAACAAUAUACUAUGAUUAACAGUAUAUAAGAACAUUUUGAUAAAAUAGCAGACUUUACGUCGCGAUCGCAACGAAAUAAUUCUCGGAAAAUAUUGUUAUAUUUUCGUGGAGAAUUGCCAAUAGAAAAAAGAUAUGUGAUAUAAAUUUUAUUGAAACAUAAAUUUUAGCACUUCGUUCUCGUGAAGUCUACAGAAUCUUAUUUCAAUUCAUGCGGUACGUGUUAUCCGUUUUUUUUUAGUUCUUAACAUGAAAUUUUCAACACAGACAAUACCGGUAUUACUUUUAUUGGAAAUUAAAUGGCUAAAUGCUUUUAUUAAUUAAUUUUCUUAAUCAACCCUUUUUUAUUUUAAAGUAUUGUCAGUAUGACACGAUUUAACACUGCGCACCAGUGUAGCGCAAAAGAAAGACAGAUAAUAAUUACUUACCCAGCGUAAUGAAAAUAUCACCAACAAUUUCGCAAAUUUAAUAAUACUAGUGGUCCCUCAGUAGUCGAAAUUCGACUAUAAUUAAUAGUAAUUAUAAGUUUGAACACUAUUAUGAAUCUAUUGUCAGAGACAAUACUUUUACAAUAACAGAUUUCGCCUAGGCAGGCCAAGGCUACACUAUAGACAAAUAAUAUUAAUCUAUUCUCAAUUUGAACACAGUCUUUAAACAAUAAAUAAUAAAAGUUUGACAAUAAACAAAAGGGUAUAUGUGAGAUGUGUAUUGAGUGUAUGUAUGGUAUGUGUGUGUCGGUAAUAGACGGUAGUGUAUGUCAUGUCUUUAUUUUAAAAUUUUAUGUAGUUUUUAUGCAAAUAAAAAAAAAAUAGCAUUCUCUAUAUUCUCUAUAAGUGUAGGAAAUUUCAUACUCCUCCGUCUACGUAAUUUUCGUAAAAAGGGAUACAAAGUUUUUGCUGGAUGUAUUAAUAUUACCGGACGACAUGGAAACAGCUCACGAGACAGGCAACGGUCAAGUUUCAGGGACACGACCUUCAGCAAUGAAGAAAGCGACGAAGAAGAAGAAGAUUAAUAUUAUAGAUACGCGUUUUUUUUUUACCAAAAUCUAUUUUUCUUACUGUAGAAGUUGUUCGUGAAACCGAUAUUAGGUACGGUUUGGUAGGCAGCGACUUGGCUGUGCCCCUAGCGUUGCUGAUGGUAACCGCUUACCAUCUGGUGGCUGUAUGCUCGUCUGUCUUUUUUUUAUUGCCUAGAUGGGUGGUUGAGCUCACCGCCCACCUGGUGUUAAGUAAUUACUGGAGCCCAUAGACAUCUGCAACGUAAAUGCGCCACCCACCUUGAGAUAUAAGUUCUAGGGUCUCAAGUACAGUUACAACGGCUGCCCCGCCCCACCUUUCAAACCGAAACGCAUUACUGCUUCACGGCACAAAUAGGCAAGGCGGUGGUACCUACCCGCACGGACUUACAAGAGGUCCUACUACCUAAAAAGGGUGCCUAAAAAGGCAAUAAAAAUAUCUAGGAGAAACCGGCAUUACCGUAUUAGACGCUUACAAAAAUGGCCGACUGCUUCAAGCUAUAAGAAAAUAAAGAAUACCGUCGUCGCAAAGAAAAAAAUAAGGCUUCAUUUCACACUCCAGACAUUAUACUCCCGGAGGCGGGUUCCUGUCAAUAUUAAGAUAUGGAAAUUGCUCCUGCCAUUACUAAUGUAUUUAUUGCGUUCCUUUGGCAGAAGCUCAAGUAUUUUACAUUACAAUAAUGCUCGUCUGAUUGUUAGUAGACGGCUGACAGAACUACGAUUAGAAUUUUUAUACGUUAAAAAUAGUUAUACGUAUUUGAAUAUAUAUAUAGAGCUGUUAAAACGUUAGCGCCUAACACCGGAGUACUAUACAUCUAUACUAAUAUUAUAAGCUGAAGAGUUUGUUUGUUUGAACGCGCUAAUCUCAGGAACUACUGGUCCGAUUUCAAAAAUUAUUUCAGUGUUAUUUAGCCCAUUUAUCGAUGAAGACUAUAGGCUAUAUAGCAUCACGCUAAGACCAAUAAAAGCGGAGCACCGAUAAAUAAUGUUUCAAAAUCGGGGUUAUUUUCCCCUUUUGAGAGCUUCCGCUGCGUGCGCUGCAGAAACGCUUAAAGUUUCGCUAAAAUAAUGUAUGACAGAAUUGUUCCUCUUUGAAAGAUCUAAAAAAAGUCCGUGACAGCAUAUGUCUAUAUGUUAAGGUUGGCUCACUAUAACGUUUUUUAUUCUAACCAAAUUUGUUCUAAAAUAAAGCAAUAUUUGUGAAUUAUUCCACGCGGACGAAGCCGCGGGCAAAAGCAAGUAAUAAUAUAUGUAUGUUAUAAUUUUAGUUCGUGUUUGUGAAUGACAGGUUACGAAAAUAUCAUCAAUCUUGGUGAAUGGUAAGUUCCUUAAAAUUGAAAACCCACUACAACAGAAUUGAGCAUUUUAAAUAAAUUAUAUCAAAUUAUGUUGUUUAAUUAAUUUGUUUUUUUUGUAAAGUGCUUGUUGUGAAAGUUGAUUUCUCUUAUUACUCACAUUCUUAUGUCUCAUUUGGUCUUAAGCACGUAAAGUGCGAGUUAAAAUUAAAAAACAUUAGCCAACGUAAAACGAGAACACAGUAAACACAGAUGAUAUUUUUCAAACUCUAAAAACGUGUGUCAUUCAAACAGCAUCAAAAACGCAGUACAGGAAAUAACAAAAAAAAAAAAAAACAAUACAUUAUCUUUAUUUGUUUAUUUAAAUUUAAUUCUGGCAACAAUUACGGUCUUCGAAAAGUUCGGUUCCGUAAAUAAUAAUUAAAAAAAAAUUCAACCUCAGAGCUCUAAUUCAAAUAUUGUGUUCUUUUAAUUGUACUCGAAGGUAAAGUGACGCGCUCCCUGCCAACUGACUGUCAAGACACUGGAAUUUUUUCCCGUUUUUUUUAUAUAGGUAAUUAAUUAUGAACUAUCAGAGAAAUAAAACCUUUAAACUGACGUGUACAAAUUAGAUAAAGCCUUUUUUUUCCAUUCUGUACAAACGAUUGACAUUAAAACAUGACAUUAAUACCUAGUACGAAUUUGGAAGAGGUUUUCAUUGUCGUAUCGAAAGGUAAUUGGGCCAUAUUUACUUAUUAAUGGAGUUAGUGAUGGGAGAUCUUGGGUCCUUAACACAGCGUUGUGUUAUUAUAAAUAGUUUUCUUUGAACACUCAACAACGUGUAGUCCGUUCCCAAAAACUUGUAUUAGUCAACAAUCAGCGGCGCUACUGCACCUUUACUGGUGGAAGGACCUCUUGUGAGUCCCCGCGGGUGGGUACCACCGCCCUGCCUAUUUCUGCCGUGAAGCAGUAGUGCGUUUCGGUUUAAAGGGUGGGGCAGCCGUUGUAACUAUACUGAGACCUUAGAACUUACAUCUCAAGGUGGGUGGCGCAUUUACGUUGUGGAUGUCUAUGGGCUCCAGUAACCACUUAACACCAGGUGGGCUGUGAGCUCGUCCACCCAACUAAGCAAUAAAAUACAUAAAACUUCAGAGGUGUCAAGGGACACCCGGAUGGAACGAAGUUCCUUUCGAUUAAUUAGUGAAGGAAUUGUAAUUUUUUUUUUAAGUUAUAGUAAUAAAUUACGACAUUAUGAAGAAGAAAAAAACAAUACUAUGAACUAAAUUACUAUUGUUGAAACGCUAUCUCGAGAAACUGUACUCAUUACGCGGACCAAUGGGAUACGAGCAAUGUCACGCGAUAAGCGCCUACACGUUGAUUGGUCAGAAUGACGGAUCUAAAAAGUGUCGCGACAACUUUUCGUAAGAAUUUUUUCCGUCUAGCCCCCUUUCACUGGAAGGCGAUGCUCGACUUCUGCGAGUGCACCAUCUCGCAGAAGGAGGCGGCGGGGCGCGUUAGAGACGCGCUAGCCCGCCGCCGUCGAGCGGGGGCCAGGGAGGCGGAUCUCGCCCAAGCCCUGGCCCUCUAAGUGUUUCGGGUCCCCCUCACAUGUCGGUCUGGGGACCGGCGAGAGGGACCUAAGAAGACGUCGUGCAAGCUGCUCUGCACGCGUUUUACGCAAGAGCAUCCGGGUGAUGGAAGGCCGGCUAUCCUCGACCCACGCUGGUUCUGACCCAGCGGGGUAUUCCGUAGGAUAGCUCACUCUAACCGGCGCCAUCUAGGCGGGCUCCGGAUAGCCUGCCGACCGAGAGGGCUGGUGGUCGUGGCGCCGACGACCGCCAGUCCGGCGUCCCGAGGGGGAGGGUGAUGGGAGAGAUGUGCUCCGCACUAAACACUUCACUUUCCCCCCUUUGCUUUUUCAUGAGUUCUGUCUCAUGUGAGGUUUGGACGUUGGUUGUUGAGCGACAGGAGGUUUUAGUCGGUUCGACUCCGACAUGCUCCGCCCGCCGUCCCCAGUGGAGGGCGGAAGUCCGGCGAUUUCCUCCUGACAAAAAAAAAAAAAAAAAAAAAAAAAAAAAAAAAAAAAAAAAAAAAAAAAAAAAAGCCCCCUUUCACAACGCGCGAUAAGGAACUUCGUUCCAAAAAAAAAAUCGACUCAGUGAAACGCUUUUAUUUUACUUGUGUGUUUGUUUGUAUGUAAAGGAAUUUUUAACUUGAAAUUUUGAAUACGGAUUCUUAGACGGAUGACAAUACAAUAUUAUUUUAUACUACCGCACCAAUAUGCUGACCAGUAUCAAGAUUUAAAAAAACAAAGUAGUGGUUGCAAUUUGCAAUUUAAGCGGCAUUUUUUUGUGAUGUCUGCUUCGCGAUAAAAAGAGGCAUCUGAAUUGUUUCAUCUUUGAAUGGGGUCUAAAAAUACAGUCCAUAUCAUAUAAUUAGAAUGGCCCACGUUCUAUGAAUUACAAUUGACAUGUACGGACGGCGCUUGUUAUUUAAAUGUAUGAAUAAAACAAAACUAUAUCUUGGUUUAUUGUAAGGCUUGUUUCGCGAUAGCCUUUUGCAUGAGUCGAUACCGUACAUGAUGUAAAGCUAUGGCAUAUAUCUAUUACAAAGGGAAGGAAAAAAACAACAUAGUGAAGCGAUAGAAAAUAUUUUAAAUAAACAAGAAACUCUUUAAUAAAAUGAAUUCAAAAUAUAUUUGUUUUUUUUUUUGUUGAAAAACUUCAAUACAUACAAAUUUCAAAUUGUCAAUGUGUUAGUAUUGUAGCGGGUCGAUAAAGCGGCACGACACGAGAACCCUCUCAUCGUGGCCGCCGGUAACUACAUUCCCGAUCCUGCGGACAGAAUGGAAAGCAGUCGACGUCGCCCAAAACACGUCAUCUCGGAUCCUCCCGAUCCACUAACGGUGCUUUUAGGUACUUCAAGCACCGGUCACCGUUCUCGUCGAACCCGUCGCUUGCGACGAAGGGCUCGUCGAGUAAAUUAACUCUCAGACACAGCCCACUGAGUUUCUCGCCGGAUCUUCUCAGUGGGUCGCGUUUCCGAUCCGGUGGUAGAUUCUGCGAAACACGACUCUUGCUAGGGUUCGUGUUAGCAUCGUCGUCAGGUUUGAGCCCCGUGAGCUCACCUACAAACGUUAGGGCGAAGCUGAAAUAGCCUCUCAAGUCUAUCAGCAUAGGUAGGGAAAAAAAAAGUAGCGGGUAGUUGUCACAGAUUUCAUAUUUAAUUUUUAAUUGCCCUAAAUCCCAUCAGGUCCUGUAAUCACAAAAAACUAUCGAUCAGUUGAAUGAAGUGUAAACACUUUCCCGAUAAUAAUUUCUACUGGCUAGUUAGUGUACAACUAUAAUAACAAUUACCUAUAUUUAGUUUAAUAUUCCUUAAUAUAUAUUAUCUUCAGCCCUUUGAUACCCACCGCUGGACAUAGGCCUCCCCUUCUUUAUUCCAUAAUGCUGGAUCGCCAUUUUCAUUCGCCAUCAUCCGGCAUCUUUACGUCUUAAUCUUAACCAGCAUUCCGUCACUGACUUACUCCACCUAUUAUCAUUUCGCCUUGCUAAAUGUGUAUUUAUUUAGUAUAUAUUAACUAUAAUAAUAAUAAAUUUUCGUUCAACAACAUAAUAAACCGUAAAACGUGACUUAUUUAAAUAUCAAUGAAUACAAACAAUUACAAUCUCUAUUUCGAUCAUAAGGUCGAUAACGGUUUGGUAUUGCACGGGUACAUUGCGGGGGUAGGCGUCAGUCAGCCUCGCUCAUCUGUUGGUCUGCGAUGGACAGUUUUCAACACCAACAUUGCUCUUCAACGUCCCACGUAAACAAGCCAGAGCCAUUGUCGGUACGGCCGCAUGGAAUGUUGGCGUAAGUUCGCGACCUCACUCGAAAUAAACGUCUUUUGUUGUUAUGUUAUAAUCGUAUUUCAUUGUUUAAUUCGUACUGAAAUAACUCAUACGAAACGAGUAAGGCAAUUAAAUCAACAUCCACUCCACUCGGAGCGAGGAAAGUUCGCUGUAAAAUCUCGUUCAAACUUUUACGACUGUGAAUAGAGAAUGCCGGUUUUCGAUCGUGCGCGAAUUCGUGGAACGUGUCUAUCGUAAACAGUUUUAUAUGUAAUAACAAAAAACACAUGUAAUAUUAUGAAAUGAAGUUAGUAUUAAAUGAAUUACGAUACAAGUACAAUCGUAAACCAAUUGAUUGCUUCGACUACUAUUUCAUUCUAUAACACAAUCAUUCAGACAAUAAAUAUCAAGCCUAUAUUUUCAGUUUGGUUUCAAACACUUUAACCGGCGGGUCUUGAGAAUGUGUAAGAAGGUUUUAAGCAAAACGUUGAGCGCGCUGGAACACGAAGGCUAAAAAAUAAUCACGACUGAUCAUUUGAAGCAAUCCUCGCCAUUAUUUGCCGGUGUUCUGAGCUUGCGUCAGGGAAGACGUUUCGGCUUCUCCAAUUUCGGGACCAUGAAAGCGCGCACUCUAAACUAAUGCAAAUUCGAUACGUUUCAUUUUAUAACCCGUGUUUAUUCUUUUAACAGUAUCGAUUGUUACGAGAAUAAUAAUACAACGGGCCAAUGCCCGUAUCGAUUCUGCGAGACGCGUUAAGGCAGGUCGGCGGUAGAUCAAUCCCGAUCGGCGCUAUUCAAUUAAGAUACUGCGAAACAUUUUAUUUGCUGAGAUGUCGGCGCCUUCUGAUAUAUGUUGCAUGUAGCUUGUCGUGGCUCGACUUCCUGACGCGCCGGUUACCUAUAAACAAUAAUCACUUCCUACAGUUUUUAAGGCAUGUCGUUAAGGUCCGUGUUUAAUUUGGGGGGCGGCGGUUUCUCGCUUUUUGGCGUAAUCGACGUGUGUGGCGAGGCGGCCCCAUAUUAGGAGAGCACGGAACGCCGCUCGCUCUAAAAUCGAUCGAACGUCAUUCAGAUAUCGAUAUUAUCGAAAAUCGAUAUUUAUGGGUUCGUCGAAGCGCUGCAUUGCGGUGUUCGUGGUUGUGAUUUCUUAAAAACUCAUCUAAACGGGUUAAUAGAGAGUUGUAACAAACGAUUGCAUAACCCGACUGUGGUCUAUAGUUUUUUUUUUUUUUUAAUGUCAGUAUCGUGGCGCUGUUGUUUAAAUUCAUUGUGAUUGAUGGACGAGUUUUAGCAUACCAGUUAUCGUCAUAUUUAAUUAGCACCGAGCAUUGUGCAUUGCAAAAUUUGCGCAUAUUUUAUGUAAUAUAAUGAUUGUAUAAUAAAUAAAUUUUGGGUACAUGCUAUAGCAGUUACAAUUAUGUAGCGUAUGUGCAUAGAGGGUUAAAGAUAACCAUUCCCUAAAGAGUAUCACUCAGAGUUCGAUGCGCUGAAGUUUGAAUUUUGUAUAUUUAAAAAAAUACAUAUGUAUUUACAAUUCUCCUUUCAUUUAUUCGAAACUUCUGAAUUUAUUACAUGAAUUAAUCACAAACGCGCGAUCGAUUUUAACGUAGAUUUAAUUUUAAUCGUACUAUUUAUAAAUCGCGAAUACAGAAAAUUAAUAAUAAUCGAAAACAUAUCGAUCUUUUUAAUCUUAAACUCAUCGUUCAACAAUAGGUCUCGCUCAUAUGCUCUGAACGCGACCAUACAAACGUCUUUGUCACAACAUUAAUAUUCACUUCGUAUAUUUAAUUCAACGCAUACCCUUCGAAGGGACAAUGAAAAAUCAUCUUCGAUCUGUCAAUGUCAGUAAGACUGCCAAUUUAUAUUGACCGUUCGUUUAAAAAUUCGGCCCUUAUUUUACAGAUAUCCGGAAGGAGAAUUUAAAUAAAUUAUGUUGCCAUGUUUAUUUAAAAGUAUGAUUUAAAACUUUCGUAGAUAAAUGUAAAAAAUUAAGUUGUAAAUUAUAAGGAAGUGCGAGGAGCUUACAAUGUUUGAGCUUAUAAAUGCUUGUUAUCGCUGUUUCCAAGCCGAAACAAAGCACAAACCAAACUCCAGCAGCCCGUACUGAAAAUAACCAAUCAAUAAAAUAAUGUGAAUUGUUUUAUUUUCUUAAUUUACUAUUUCAAUUUUGGCAUAUUACGGUAAAAGUGCAUCUGAGUGAGAUGACAUAAAAAUACUAGAAGUGGCUUCUCGGAUUCUUUAAAAUAUUCGACUAGUCUCACUAUAUUUCAAUGGUUUUACUAGGACAUUUAUAAUUUCAAUUCUUUUAAUUCGAUAGUCUACUUCAGACAAAAAAUAACAUUUUAUUUUGCUUCGAUUCAAACAUACAUAGAAAGUGUGUGAUAAAAAAAUGAUGAUUUGAUUAAAAGACUAGAAACCGAGAUAGAAACUAAAUAAAAAAAUUCGUAAAAAAAAUGUCAAACUCCAAUUAUAAAACAACAUUCAAAACUUAGGGAAUCCAUUUUGUUUCAUAUAUAUCGUCGUUGUCAAACCAAAAUCUGCUAUGUGCAGUUUUUAAGAUUUUUACUUUUUGACCUUUUCGUAUAGUUCACAGCCCUAUCUAUCGUAUAAAAAAAAAACUGUUAUGUGUCUAAUAGCUUUUAAUAUUUAUCUAUAGGUUUGAUAUAGUUCUUAAAAAUUCACUUUCAUAUAAAAUUUUACUUACGAAAAUGUUUUACUCGUUAAUUCAAAAUAGAGUUUUUGCACAUAACAGAUUUUGGUUUGACAGCGACGUUAAAUGAGUAAACUCUUCAUUUACUUCGUUGCGUUUAAAUUUCCACACACCUGAAACCGUUCCGACUAAACGCAGACAACGCACGGGGUCAACGUUUUGGUGUGACGCGGGGGAGGGGUGUCAUGCUCCCUAAUAAACCCCUAUAAAAUGCGGGUAGAACAUGAAUGGUAAACAUUUUAUUUAUUCUUAAACUAGCUGACCCGGCAGACUUCGUAGUACCUAAAUCUAAACCUUUAUAUAAAAUAAAUUUAAAACAAACAAAAGGAAUCCGUCCGACGGGGGGAACACAUUAAAGGAAAAACAAAAUUGUUAUUUUUAUUUAAUUCCGAGCAUUUUCAUAUUUAUCUAACCUUUUAAACCUUCUCUGGACUUCCAGAAAUAAUUCAAGACCAAAAUUGGCCAAAAUUAGCCAGCCGUUCUCGAGUUUUAGCGAGACUAACGAACAGCAAUUCAUUUUUAUAUACAUAUUAGAAUAUAGAUUUGCAGAAAACAAGAUGAACUUUAUAAAAUUAUAACAAAUACGAACAUCUCUCUAUGAACUCUUCACAUAAAGGCACAUCCCGAAAUAAAUAAUUACCGAGAGACCCGAUCCUUAAUUAAGGUUAAAGGUCGUUCAGACACGGCCUUCUAUUUUCUAUAUUUAGAAGCUUUCAACUCUAAUUUAAUAUGUAAAUACGUUUACGUCUACAACGGGGCGAAUCGGUACUCGUGUGACUUUGGCAGACUAAUGAAGGUAAAUUAGAUAUUUCAAUUAUAAAUUUCUCUGUGUUGAAAUAAAGUUUUAAGAUAUUUUUGUAAGCUAUGCUUCACUACAUAGUAUAAAACAAAGUCGCUUUCUCUGUCCCUAUGUAUGCUUAAAUCUUUAAAACUACGCAAAGGAUUUUGAUGCGGUUUUUUUUAAUAGAUAGAGUGAUUGAAGAGGAAGGUUUAUAUGUAUAAUAACAUCUAUUAAAUAGUGGAGAAAUCAAUAAUAAAUUACAGUUUCCGAAGCGAAGCGAGGGCGGGUCGCUAGUAUAUUAAUAAAGAAAGGUGUUUUAUGAAUGCCUUCACAUGAGUAAGCGAUUUUAACAUUUAUUUGCAUCCUUUUUUUCUAUCUAAUUGAGUGCAGCCUCAACGGGCUAUUCUGAAUUGUUUGGUGAGCAAAGUCACGGGGCUCAACUUGAGAGUAUUACUAAUAACUGCCCCAGUAACAGUUGUGCUUUGCUGAAUCUUACCAUCUAAUCGGAAUCGCGACCAACUGAGAAGAUGCGAAGAGAAACUCAUUGGAACUCGCACCGAUAUUAGCUUAAACACAAAAUGGAAUUUGCCUAUGUACAUAGGCUUUAAAAUAAAAUACAGAUAUAUAAUACGAUUUUCACAUACUUGUAGUACCACGGCACUUCAAAUCGUGUCACUCGUUCCUUUUAUCCUUGUAGCGACAAAGUAUUUUCUCUCUUGAGAACAAAAAUUUUUCGCAAACAUAAAGUUCCUAAAAAUACCUUUCCCUGGAGCCGAAUAAAUCUUGUUAUAUAGAAUGGCGAAUGUAUGAGAUAAAAGCUUUGGCCAUUAAACCGUAUGUUUUAGGAUUCCGUAACCAAAUUGCAAAAUAAAGAAAAAAAGUUAUUUUAGUAGUUUGUAUUUCGCGCCUUUUCCAAACGAAACAAAUACGCCUAUUAGGGGCGUUGAGUGUAUAAUUUAGUUAAUGUUAUAGAACGAUUUAAACUGUUCAAUUCGCGGUAUCAUCAUCAAGGAACAUCUGAAGUCUGAAUAUGGGUUAAUUCCUUAAGUCAAGUUGAUAUCGACGUUACACGAUCUAGGAUAAGCCGUUAGUAGGAAAUUUAAGAUAACAAGCCACUUAUUGAGUCUACCGACAGCCUGACGUGGUAUCUACGGUCAAUCUCCGUGGUUAUUUCUAGUCGAAUGAGACUUACAAACUGCACUUAGGUUUUUUUUUUUGUGUUAUUAUUCGAAUAACUGGCGGAAUGAGGCAGUAACUAUGUUUAUUGAAUAUAAAAUUGCUGACUUCAAUUUUUAUUGCUAUCACUAUUAAUCUUGUUCGUAGAGAUUCUGGGUGCAUACUUGUCGGAAUAUUGGUAUCUACAUCUGGAAUAAAACACCAAGGAUUUUUGAUUAAGCUGAGAAAAGUGUGCGCUCAAGAUUUGUAAACGAAUCACCGAAAGGUUGGAACACGAAUUCUUUAUGUUUUUGCUACUCCAAGUUACAACUUGGAUGCGUACAGAUAUUUGAUUCGAAUGUAGUUUUAGAACAAAUCACCUGUGAUACGUACGAUAGGAAAUUCCUAUCGCAAAUUGAAUUAAGCAAUCAAGAUUAGUUAAAAUGAUGAAUGAUUCAAGUUCUGUGAGCAAAAGUUGAGUGGCAAUCGUCUCAUCCGCAUCUCAAAGAUUCUGUAUCCCAACUACGUAAAUAAACUAAUAUACAAAAUAAAAAUAAAAAACUGUGUACGCUCAUCGCUCCAGCGUUACGUGAUCUUUUAAUAUCGACAGACUAAUCUCCGCAAAGUCUAGAUUGAACCGUAUCAAAGAUUAGAAAAAAACAAACACAAGUGCCUUGUGCAAAAAGAAAGCAAAGGAAAACAGACUUCCAAGAAUGUAUCCGCACUCCGUAUGCACUAAAAUUAUUGACGGAAAUAGAAUGCUUAUUCACAUAUGUUCGUCGUUUGAAAUUAUUGUUUUUUUUUUAUUGCCUUUGUAGGCAGACGAGCGUACGGCCCACCUGAUGGUAAGUGGUUUCCGUCGCCCAUGGACUUCAGCAGUGCCAGGAGCAGAGCCAAGCCGCUGCCUACUGCUUAAUACUCUCCAAAUUAACUAAUUUUAUUUCGCGCACCUACCCAAGUUGGGACACGCGAAUAAUUUGUGGUUAUAUUUAUUCUGAAUAAUAUCACUGGUCAUACCUAUUGUACUGGCUAGCGAAUUAAGAACGAGAUUACCGUUGGUGAAGACUACUGUGAAGUUUACUGGUGGUAGGACCUCUCGAGAGUCCCCGCGGGUGGGUACCACCACUCUGCCUAUUUCUGCCGUGAAGCAGUAAUGCGUUUCGGUUUGAAGGGUGGGGCAGCCGUUGUAAGUAUACUUGAGACCUUAGAACUUAUACAAGGUGGGUGGCGCAUUUACAUUGUAGAUGUCUAUGGGCUCCAGUAACCACUUAACACCAGAUGGGCUGUGAGCUCGUCCACCCAUCUAAGAAAUAAAAAAAAAUAUCGCCACCCACUAUGAGACACUACGCCAGCUAACAUAAUAUGUGUUUGCGUGAGAGCAGUGAAUGACUUGUAAGUUUUGUACGCAUUCAUUGCGGCUUUACAAAUUACGAAAUUGAUCAAUGAUAAACUCGUAUAAGAACUUAAUAAUAAAAAUAGCAAUAACUAUUCACAUUAAUUAGCCUAAUAGUUUGUUGCUGUUUUGUCUUCGGGAGCCGUUCCGGUCAUGCUCAGUGAUGUGUGUGUGUGUGCGUGUGCGUGCGUGUGUGUGUGUGUGUGUGUUUUUUUUAUUAUUGAAAGAUUACUGGUGGCCCGGAGGCCUCUCCAGCUUCACCAGGACAGGUGGGCGAGCAAAGGCUCAGCCAGGAGGGGUGGGAUUUGCUAACAACUGCCCGAGCGCCUCCGAAGGAGACCUAACAACUCAAGAGCAGCUGCUUCGCGAAUGAAUCUACUAUCGGAUCGGAAUCGCGACCCACUGAGAAGAUCCGGCGAGAAACUCAGCGGGCUGAUGCAUGGGCUAGGUUGCACGUCGAACUCUUUGUCGAAUUCGACGAGUACGGUUACCGGGGUUCCUCAGCCUGCUCCUUGUGUUAGAGCUGAAGGUAUCUAAUGCAAGAGUUAUUGGAUCUGAUAGAUCCGUAAGGACGUGUCUAGGGCGACGACGGUGACUUGCUCCUGCGUGAUCAGGAUUCUGGGAGUAGUCAGCGGCGGCAACGAUAAGGCGAUUAUCAUGACGGUGUGUGCGUUGUAGUUGUCCCAGGGUCUUCUGCCAAGCGGUUGCCACUCAAACGCGAUUAAUGCUGCGUUGACUCCUAGGCAAUGCCUUGCGCGAUGAGGGAUUGGUCGUAGUCCAUGACAGACUAACAUUUUAUUUCGAAGCACGUCAUACGAGUAUAUCGAGAUAUUUCACGAAACACAUUUAUUUAAGGUUACCGAUUAUCGUAAACUAGAGGUCCCGCAGUAGUCGAAAUUCGACUAUAAUUAAUUGGAAUUGUAAGUUUGUACACUAUUUUGAUUGUAUUUUAUACUUCUAUAAUCACAAAUUUCGCGAAGACUAUACUAUAAAAAAUAUUAACAAAGACAAACAAUAUUUAAUCUAUUCUCAAUUUGACAACAGACGUCAAGAACAAAAGUUUGACAAUAAAUAGUAUGCAUGCGUGUGUGCGUCAAAUACAUGGUAUGUAAUGUGUGUAAUGUUUUCUUUAUUGAUUUAAUGUAUCUUUAAUGCAUUAUUUUAAAAAAAAUAUUAGCAUUGUGCACUUCUUCUCUAUAUUCUCUAUAAGUGUGGAAAAUUUCAUACUCGUCCGUCCGCGCAAUUUUCGUAAAAAGGGAUACAAAGUUUUUGCUUCACGUAUUAAUAUUCGUAAAUAAAAUUCUAUCGGACUGAAGAAUAUACUCCCAAAAUUCUGAGAAGUAAUUCUUAAAGAAACUUCUCAUUAACUCUGUUACAGACUAUGUAUUUUAUUACUGACAUAAACUGAAAGAACAUUUAAGUAUUCAUACAAACUAUUACAAACCAACGAAGCGUUUGUGAGCGAGUACAUUACAUAAUUUCUAAAUUGUUAUGUUCAACAUGAGAAAUAUUUCGAAUAUUUGGCAAACAUAAUCCUAACAAAUAUUUCUAUUUGACUGCAAAACGGCUUUCACGGAAAUAUUGUUACGGUUUAUGGUGGAAAGAAAACAGGAAAAAUAACAAAAAAAUCUAUUCCAUGCUUCAAGAUUUUAAAUAGACGGAGCACGUGUGCUUUCAGUAGCUCUGAAACUAGCUACGUGUUCAGAUUGUUAAUGGAAUCGGCUCGUUAACUGAUGUGUAUUUAUUGCUCCAUAAAUAAAGAUGAUCAAAAUAAAGCCGAUCGAAAAUAAAAUUAAAAUCCUAAAGUUAUAAGAGUUGUUUCAUGGCGGGUGUAUUUUAUUUUCGAAUUUUGACUCCAGCUUGACGGAAACUUGAAUUCCCUAAACAUAUAUACAUACCUACCUCGUAGAACAGAUAGAUCGCAUUUUUACUGGUGAUAGGACCUCUUGUGAGUCCCCGCGGGUAGGUACCACCACUCUGUCUAUUUCUGCCGUGAGACAGUAAUGCGUUUCGGUUUGAAGGGUGGGGCAGCCGUUUUAACUAUACUGAGAACUUAGAACUUAUAUCUCCAGAUGGGUGACGCAUUAAAGUUGUAUAUGUCUAUGGGCUCCAGUAACUACUUAACACCAGGUGGGCUGUGAGCUCUUCCACUUAUAUCAGCAAUUAAAAAAAAGUGAAUAAUUGCCAAUAGUACGCGUAAAUAUUGCUUCAAGAAUCAUAUUUAUGAUGAUGAUUGAGAGUCAAGUGAGUUGAUUGUCGAUCGCCGUGUAUUCGUAAGUCUAUGCAUCUAUAAUCUACUAGCUGACCUGGCAAACAUUGUUUUGCCAUAUAUAAGAUUUCUAUGGAAUUUCUAGUGUAGAAAAAAAAACUAACUUAUUGUAAGUGUGUAAGGAUGUGGUAAAUGAGUGAAAGAGGUAUGUAGUGCUGUGAACGAUGAGGGAAUAUAUAAUAAAAAUAACAAAACUUCAUUCAACCACAUAAUACCUCAUUAUAACAAAAAAAAUGUCCAAAUAAAAAAAAAGAUGUUAGGGGUGGACAACCCUAAUCACUUAGGGGUAUGAAAAAUAGAUAGUAGCUGAUUCUCAGGCUUACUGAAUAAGCAUAAAAAAUUUCAUGAGAAUCGGUCAAGCGGUUUCGGAGGAGUAUGGGAACGAACAUUGUGACACGAGAAUUUUAUAUAUUAGAUAAUACCCUUUUUUUAGCAAUUCAAAAGAAAUGGAUCCGAAUCUUCAAACGCCGACCCCGCGAUUAAUAAAACGCUUCAAAAGUGAAUAACGAACAAUUAGCGAUCGAAAAUGUUUACGCUCGUAAAUUUCGCCGCACACAUCAUUUGAGCCGGCACUGUUUACCCGACACGGUUGCGAUCGCGUUUGACCGAAAGGCGCUCGUGUCCGAAAUCGAGCAUCAUAAUAAUGUCGCCUUAUAAACCGAACGUGUUCCAAUUACAUUAACAUUCACAUCUCUCGCAUCACGACGUCUUCAUUUUAAAUGUUCUUAAAAAAAAAACUGGGCCAGAAACACUUUUAUGUGACGCAUACGUACGUAUUUUUGGAUUAAAAGAAUGACACCUUCAUUAUAUAACCCUUUGUGGUUCCAUGCGCACUAUGAAACCAAUUCAGGUAGUGCAGCUCGAAAUUCAAAAUGUUUUUCAAAUUCAAAUUUUUUUUUAAAUCAAAUCGAUAGACCCUGUUAUCCAGUAAUAAAAAAAAAUUAGCAACAAAAAACAACAGAUUUCAACAUUAUUUAAAUAAAAAACAUUAAAACAAACAAAAAUACAUUUCAAAAUCAAACUAGCGUUUUACAUAUUUUAUCAUUAAGGUUUCCAUUAAAAUGUGUGUAUGUAUAACGUAAUACAAAAUUUUAGCAAAAAGAAAACCGACCUGAAUAAAAUAAAACCAGAAAAACACCAAUACCGACAAAGUUUUUUUUUUAUAUUUCUUAUAUAGGUGGACGAGCUCACCACCCUUCAAACCGAAACGCAUUACUGCUUCACGGCGGAAAUAGGCGGGGUGGUGGUACCUACCACCAGUUAUGCAAGCUAUAAUUUUGUGGGUUUGAUUGUGUAUUACACGAUGUUAUUCCUUCACCGUGGAAGUCAAUCGUCAACAUUGAGUUAAGUACAUAUUUCAUAAGAAAAAUUGGAACCCGCCUGCGGAAUUCGAACAUCGUUGCAUCGCUACACACGAAUGCACCGGACGUCUUAUAUUGUAGGCCACGAGGACUUCGUCAAUUAAAUAUACAAUAUUAACUAUAACUCAAAAACUGCUGACCUGAUAUUAGAAAAUUUAAAUGGGAACAUAUGAGAAGCACGAGCUUGCGACUCGAUUCGCCUAGAAAAAAGAUCUGAGAUAAAACAAAACAAAAUCAGUCGAAUUCAUAAUUUUAUCCUUUUUUUUUAAUUCGACUUCAAAUGCGUUUAAAGCUCAACUUAUACCUCUACCGAUCAACUAUGAAGUUCGCUCUAAGCUAAUUAUUACCACAAUGUAAUAUUGGCUAUAUUAGCAUCUACUAUUGUCUAGCUAGAGAUAUUCAAGUAACUUUGGAUUUAAAAAAAAAACAUUGUACAUUCAAUCAAAUACAAAAAAGGGUCAACUGUCUCACGUAAGGUCGUAUUUGAAUAUAAAUAAUCAUCUACGCUAAUUAUAAAUUAUUACGAACAAUUAAAAUCGUUACGCGAUCUCACACUUUAUAUAAAUUGCAAUGGGAAUAUGUCCGAAGCUAAAAAAGAAAUAUGUAAACUAACUACCCUACCUACCUAGAUAUUCACUGUAUUGUAGAUUUUUAAGUGAUCAUUAUUUUUAACAUUUGUGCUUAAUUGUAUUCUAAAGAUCGAGUUCCCACUCUCCCACGUCACAAGAGGCCGGUGACCUCGCGCAUCACCAGAUUUCAUAAUUGUUUUCAUUACAUCGCGUGCAAUGCUAGAAACAUUAAUAAAAUAUAAAUAUUUGAAUUGAUUUUUUAUUAGGCUAUUGUUUACGUUUCUGAAAACGUUUUCAAUAAACUCUCACUCUGUGUACAUUAUUAAUGUAAUGUAUUAUUUUCUGUUAUCGUUCUAUCGGUUCUCCACAAUUUGUCUUUCCGCCCCCUGAUCACGUAAAAAUUUGCGACAGCCACAAUUUUGCAGAUGUUGUGCAGACGCGUCGCGACCGAUCGCAAAACGUCAAAUUAUUUCGUAUCACGUACCGCGAUUGUUCGCUUACCGCUUACUGCAGUUUUCUGUCAUACAACUAGCGCCAGUCGCAAUCGGGUAGCAAUAAUUGGCACUAAAAAGCCACAUUACUUUUUUUUUUUUUGCUGAACAAACCGGCAAAUGAAUUUAUAAAAGCGCGUUACAUAUAAACAUUUUAAAAUGUUUAAGUGGAAUUCACGUUUGAAACGCCAAGUGAGAGCUGCUAAUUCUGUUCUUUUCGAUGAAGCGUUACUAAAAAUAAGUGAUCUAAUAAUAAUUUUUGCUUUAUUUUGAAUAAUAGCUACAAAAAUGUAAUUGUGUCAUGUCAAACACUGAUAACAUUUUUUUUUGUAAUCGUUUGAUAAUUUGUAAUCAGAUAGUUGUUUACGUUACGAACCUAUUUUAAAAAAGAAUGGAUCAAAAUUAUAGCCUAAUUUAUUAAUUUCAUUAUCAAUUAAGUAAGUACAUAAGCUCACAACCCAUCUAGUGUUAAGUGGUAUAGACUUCACAACGUGAAUGCCACCCCCAUUUUUAGAAACGAGGUCUGAGUUUCAACUGUAUACCAAAACGGCUGCCCCAUUCUUCAAAUUGCAACGCAUUACUGCUUCGCGGUAGAAAUGGGCGGAAUGGUGGUCUUGCGGGUUAAUCAAACGCCCUACCACCAACGAUUUCAGAAUAUUUGCUAAUUUGAUUUUAAAUAAAAGAUGAAUGAAUCCUUAAUCAUGGAAGUCUUCCAUGUAUACAUGUCAAAUAUGUGUUUCAUUGGAUUUAUUGAUAUCUGCCUGCGGGAUUCUAGCACUGGUUCAGUAAGAUUUCAAAUUAAAUAGUAAAUUCUAGAAUAAAUGAGUUAGUUUUAUGGUUUUAUCAAUAAUAAAGUGUACAACAGAUCCAUCUUACGCCGACAUGAGGCCGACAACGCUAGAACAACCAGUCGAUGAUAUUCUAGGUGAGAUGCUGCUAUUCUUUAUCAAGUAAUAGAUAGUGGAUUUGUUUGACUUGGCAAGAGUAGGCUUUGAUUUGAAUACCAGAAAUAUAGUGCUGUCUUUCACAGCUUGAAGGGAAAUAAAAGCUGUGCAGACUAUUCAUAAUAAUGUUCACCCAAGGUCAUGGGCAAUAUGACGUGAAUAGGAAACUGCAUGUCAGACAUUAACUUAAUGUUCUAUAUUAUUUUUAAACAAAUGAAUCUAAUAUUUUAAGACAAUAAAUAAAUAUUUAUUUUUAUAAUUAGCCCAGUUUUUCGUCGACGAAGCCAUCUUAAGAGAAGCUUCAUUGCAAAUAUCAGGCCGAUAUUUAACUAUAGCGGACAACAAACAAGAGUGGACACAUCGUGAGCUGUAGUUGUAGAAAGAGGAGAAAAUGGAAACUAAGGCGAACCACUGGCUCAUGCAGCUUUCAUUUCAGCAGAGGCUGUUCGUACGCAGGCAGAGGCCGCGCAUCUUUCAGCUGAGAUAUAUAAAAAAAUUCAAGGAAUUGACCAAUAUCGGCAAAAACCUUGUUUAAAAUAAUAAGUUCAAUUUUGUUUUAAUUUUAGCUGAGUCCCUAAUAGUUUAUAUUACCAUAAAAACGAAAUAGCGCUUGUUACAAUAGUCAAGCAAAUCCAAAUAUAUACGUUUUACUUUAGGCUGGUACUACAGUAAAUUUUAUGACACUAGUGAGUAUAUUUUACGCUAAUAAAACUACUCUCAACUUAGCAUUUCAAAAUGACUAUUUAUUUUUUUAUUGCUAAGAUGGGUGGACGAGCUUACAGCCCACCUGGUGUUAAGUGGUUACUGGAGCCCAUAGCCAUCUACAACGUAAAUGCGGCACCCACCUUGAGAUAUAAGUUCUAAGGUCUCAGUAUAGUUAUAACGGCUGCUCUACCCUUCAAAACGAAACGCAUUAAAGCUUCACGGUAGAAAUAGGCGGAGUGGUUGUACCUACUCGUGCGGACUCACAAGUGGUCCUACCACCAGUAGAAUACCAGUAUUUAGCUUCAUUGUAUAUUUUGUACUCACAGUAUUCGGCAUGUUCUGCUUCUAGUCUAUAGGGUUAUAGAGCUAUCACCUUGCUAUCAUUCUACUUACCUCGGCCCCAAGUUCAGUUAUGUUUCUUUGAAGUUAUCGGCAGUCGAUAUUAUAUUUCAAUUGUGGCUUCAAUUUCAUGCGGCAAGAAUUACAAACAAACUACGAUUUCCUAAUUUAAGAAUUAUUAUUCAAAUAAAACAAAAUUACACAAAAAAAAUUAUUAUCAAACUUAUCUAACGACCGUCUGGUGUAGUGGUAAGUGACAUGGUCGCUACACAAGGGGGUCGCGGGUUCGAAUCCCGCCAAGGGAAGAUAUUUGUAUGAUAAAUAUAAAUGUCUUUUCCAGGGUUUGGAAUUCCAGGGGAUGUAUAUUAAAUAUAUGUAUGUGUAUAAUAAAAAUCCUACAUUUAUUUCCGUUAUCUGGUAUUUAUAUUUAUAUUAUUAUUAUUAUCACAAUGAACAAAAAUCAGUGGUGGUUGAUCAACAUUUUGUCUAAAUUAUGAAUUAUGUUUUUCAUUUUGUAAGUAAUAUUCAUGUAAGUAUCCAACAAAAUUUAGAAGAAUUAUGAAUUACUAGUCGAUUUGUUAUUCAUUCUAUUCCAUUAUUCAAAACAGCAGUAUAUACAAUAAUAUAUAUAACAACACAACAUACAAACGGGGUUAACAUAAAGAUAAAAUGAUACAGAACAAAUUGAGCACGACAGAUUAAAACAUUGACUUAAUAAAACAACCUCACAAUUUUGCUUUCAAAUAGUUAUGAAUCCAUCCUUUAUAUAGUAAAGGUAAAAACACAAAAAUGUUAAGGAAAUAUGUAUAUUUCCACUAAGCACAAUUAAAAAAUUAUAGACACAAAUAAUUAGGCUAUUCUUGCCCUCUCAGUUCACAUAAUUAAGAACAGCAGUUUUCAAAAUAUCUACAUAAAAUUACUAGAAUACAGAGGUUGAGACUAAAUUUAAUGUCUGUUCUCCACAAUCCAAUUGAACCACCCUUGAAUGUUGACAUGGUGCUAAGUGCUGUGUUUCCUCUUCUCUCCCAAAAAAUACAAUGUUAUGAGUUUGAUAAGAAACAUCAAUUUCAGCAUCUUCGUCAGAGAGUUGGGGCACUGGAAACCCAUGUGUGUUUGCCAUGUUAUGCAAUACAAGCUAACAAUUAUGGUCUUGGCCAUCAUAAUAUGAUGAUCAUAAUGCAGUACUCUAUGUACCAACAAGCAUCUCCAACUGGCUUUCAAUACUCACAAUGGUCAACUGUGUUCCUGGUAUGACAAUAAACAUUACUAUAGUACUAUAUAUUAACUGCCUUCCCAGUUUUAAAUAUACUUUUAGAUAGAGUAUUAUUUUGUAGUCAGGUUACUGAGACAGAGCUCAUGAUGUUUUACUUGCCUAAAAACCAAACUUUUUCACUAUUAUGGUGCAGGUCCUGCAUAGGCAUAUUCAGUUGUGAUAAGCCAGACAAAUGUAUCAUGAAAUGUUGCAUUAAUACUAAAAAUGUUAAGAUCACUAUCACAUAUCUGAAAAAUUUAAUUCUUUAGAUAAGUACUAUCAAAUGUUUGUUAUUGUGAAUGAUAGGCUUCAGCAAAAUACUUACUAUUUGCACAUUCUUGAAAUGAUAAUGCUUGCGGUUCUAAAACCUUUCUUCAUAUACAGAAGAUCUGAUAAGUGCAAAUGAGUGCCAUCUAUA